GUCCUCAUCGUCUAAGGGCUCAGGAUUCGAGAUUCUCAAUCUCGAGAUCGGGGUUCGAAUCCCCGUGGGGACG
rnacentral:tRNA from 1 species